rnacentral:rRNA from 1 species
AUCAUUAAAGGUUUGGUUCCGUGCCUCUGGCGCAGACCGAAUGCUUUGGCAAACCCUCGGGUAAGAGCGGGUGUUUCGUCGAAACCGGGGGCCUGUCCCCUGGCUAGGCAGUCAACCCCGUUCUCCUAGGGCCCGGGACUUGUCUGUCCCGGGCUGUAAGCCUCUGUCUCCCCGGGUCGACCUCUUCUGGUCCCAGGGUCGUAGCUUUGGCUGCUCUGCUCGUGACCGGCACCCUGCAACGGGUUGUCAUAGAGUUCUCGCCGGUCCAGCGGAGUUUGUGUGUGUCCCCUCACCCGGGCUCGAGUACACGUGAAACGGUUCAACCCUCUAAACCUUCGGAGCUAAACACUCCGUCGUACCUUAUACACUUCCAUGCAGUGGAUCAGUUGGCUUGGGGGUCGAUGAAGAACGGAGCUAAAUCCGUGACAUAAUGUGAACUGCAGGACACAUGAACAUCGACACUUUGAACGCAUAUUGCGGGCCUGUGCUCGUCACAGGCCUACCCUUGUUUCAGGGUCGGUUACACAACAUCCAUCGGGGUCUUCACUGGUGUGAAGCCCCGCAUUGUCCGGUCUGCAACCCUGGUUGUCGCAGCCGGAUCAAGAUGUACCUUGCAGCGUAGGACUGCAUCCAACUCUUGGUGUUGAAAAACCCGGGUUGGUGUGUCAGAGCCCCUGCGAGGUACGGACGUGUGGGGAGCUGACUGCUACUUUCAUCCCCUAUCGACGUCAAACCAAUUUAUCUUCGACCUGAAAUCAAGGGGGACUACCCGCCGAAUUUAAG